ACUAAUUUGGCAGAUUAAUUGUAUCAAAUUUAGAAUUUGAUUAAGGAAAAACCAAUUAGUG
rnacentral:tRNA from 1 species